ACUAUCCGCAAAUUAAUGGUAUCUUUAUUCAAAUGAGAAGCGGUGCUUAUGUUAUGAAAAGCACUAUUAUAAGAUGUAUAAUUUGAAAAUGUAGCUUGAAUCUUUAUUAAUAAUGCUCAUAACAGGGUCAUCAAAUGGCAAUAUGAAACUUUACCCCCCAUCUUAGAGAUGGUGUAACUGAGAUAUACACUUAUUAGGGCAGAGGCAACAGGACUCCGAACUGUAUCUGCAUAUGUACCAAAUUGUGCAGCACCUACCUGAAGUAAUUGUGUCCCUUAAUUAUGUUUUAUCAUCAGCAAAUUCUUAACUUUUCAGAAUGUUCUUACUAUGUUUCCUGGUCUUCAUGGCACAUUCUACAGGAAUGUUUUCUGCAAUGAUCCUGCGUACAGGCAGCAAGCUUAAAGCAAACGGCUGAGCUCUUUCCCGAAGCUAUAGAAGAUAUUGCAGGAGUAUGCCCUGCUUGCUCUCAGGCAGGAAGCAUCCACUGAGAUUCUUAAGACAGUGCGCAUUACCCACCAGAGGGAGCUGAAGCCAAGAACUGUCAGAUUUUGCUUUGGCUUCCAAUUAUCAGAGGAUUCCCUACUGAAAGUCAUCUCCUCCACUUCACAGUGCUUUAGAUUCAGGCCUCUGUCUUCAGCCCUAACUUUUCUAUCCAAGUUCCAUCUGAAGGCAGCAGAUUUCACUGAUGACCUUAUUUGCACCUUCUUCAUUAAUCAUCUGAGUUCUCAUCUAAUUGUAUUCAGCUGUAUUCCAAAUACUAAUACCACUGAGAUAAUAUUUGGGAAUCUGAAGACCACGGGCAUGUGACCAAGUUACAUUCUGUUCCUUUUGGAGGUGAGCAAUUUCACUUCUGUUGCUACUUGUUAAACAAAUGAGAAUUGUUUCUGUGGGUCAGUUCAUUUCUAAAGGGAUCAUACAGAUGGAAAUCUCAAAUUAUCAAUAUCAUAAUUCCAUAUU
rnacentral:lncRNA from 1 species